CCUAGUACGAGAGGACCGGAGUGGACAGACCUCUAGUGUGCCAGUUGUUCCGCCAGGAGCAUCGCUGGGUAGCCAUGUCUGGCAGAGAUAACCGCUGAAAGCAUCUAAGUGGGAAACUCGCCCUAAGAUUAGAUCCCUGUGACCCGUAAGGGUGUAAGACCCCAGAUAGACUAUCUGGUUAAUAGGCAGCGUGUGUAAGCGCAGUAAUGUGUUAAGCUAAGCUGUACUAAUGGUCGAGGGCUUCCUUU
rnacentral:rRNA from 1 species